AGAGAGUGCAGCUCAGUGGUAGAGCACGUGCUUAGCAUGCCCGAGGUCCUGGGUUCAACCCCAGCACCUCUA
rnacentral:tRNA from 1 species